rnacentral:lncRNA from 1 species
CGCGCCUCCGGCUGCGGGCUCACGGCGGAGCGCUACCCACGGCCACGCACGCACACGCCGUCGGCCUCAGUUCGAGAGCGGCGAUAGAUGGGUGGCCUCGUGCCGAGGCACCGCGCGGCGCUAGCCCGGCCAGAUGCUUCCUCCCGUCCGACAGCGGUGCCGCCGAGGCAUCGGCUGCGGCGCAAGGCUCUCCCGAGCCAGGUGUGAGAGAGGCAAAGCCCCAUUGAAGACAAUGACAGUAGUUCUGUGCUGCAUGGGGAGUUAAACACCGAGCACUGCAGCAGCGUUCGUUUGGAGCAGUGUGUUUCUUAGAGCCGGGAAGGUCUGAGUGGAGGUAAGAGUGAGAUCUACUCUUCCCUUGGCCCUUCUGCUGCAAACCACUGUGCAAAAAGGCAAAUGCAAACAGGAGCCUGCCCUUAGCCCACUGAAAGAGUUCACUGACCUCUCGUCUGCUGCACUGAAGCCUGCAGGAACCCUGGCAUAACUGACUGAAGGAGAGAAACAACGUUGGUAACACACCGAUGUUCACAGCUGCUGCUAAGCAGUGUUGGACAGAGCCAAGGCUGUUCUCAGCAAAGGGCCCAAGGAGCUGGGAGGGAACAGAGUGAGGACAGCUGACUUAAACUGGCCAAAGGGAUAUUCUAUAUGUCAUAAUUAUUAUCUUUUUCAUUACCUCAGUAAAUAGUUUUAUCUCAAUCCAUGAGUUGUACUUUGUGUUUUUUCCUGAUUCUCCCCCUCAUUCCACUGGGAAGAUGGGGACUGGGCAACUGACUGUGCAGUGCUCAGCCACCUGCCAGGUUAAACCACAAGAGGGAGGUGAUGUGGGAUAACCAGCAGAGCUUCCCCAAGGGCAGGUCCUGCCUCACAGGAGGAGUCAGGGAGGUGAUCCUGCCCCUCUGCUCUGCACUGUGAGGCCUCACCUGGAGCACCGCAUCCAGACAUGGAGCCUUCAGUACAGGAGAGACAUGGAGCUUUCAGAGCAUGUCCAGAGGAGGGCCACAAAAAUGAUCCCAGGAUGAAACACCUCUCCUACAGGACAGGCUGAGAGAGCUGGGGCUGUGCAGCAUGGAGAAGGGAGGGCUGCAGGGAGAGCUGAGAGCGGCCUGUCAGUAUCUAAAGGUGAGCUGUAAGGAGAGAACAGUCUCUUUAGCAGGGUCUGUUAGGAGAGGACAAGGGGAAAUAGUUUCAUAAAAGAGGGGAGAUUUAGAUUGGAUAUAAGAAGGAAGUUUUUUACAAUAGGAGUGCUGAGGCACUGGCACAGGUUGCCCAGAGAUGUUGUGGUGGCCCUGUCCUGGACAUAUUCAAGGUCAGGCUGGAUGUGGCUCUGAGCACCCGAUAGAGCUGGGUGUCCCCGUUCAUCACGGGGGAGUUGGACCAGAUGGCCCUUUAAGGUCCCUUCCUACUCAAAAGAAUCUGUGAUUCUAAUACAAGCAAAUACAAAAGCUGUGCUUGACAUUUCAGAGGAAUCCAGCUGAUCUAGGACUAUAAACUCCACUGAUUUGCAGUGAUUUUUACAUUCCUGAGUCACGUCAGGUACACUUGAAAGGUCUGUUUUGUACAUUUCCUCACAGUAGUUCAUGUUUGUGAAGGCAUUAACUCUGAAUUCAUGGAGCUGAUGUCAGUCUUAAGCUAGUUAAGUUACUUAAACCUGAUUUACAUUCAGCCACUUUCCUAGUCAAAAGGAACACAGACAGAUAAGCCACCUCUCAUGAUUUCUUCAUGGUAAGGCUUUGCUAGGAGUGAGAUAGAAAGAUGAGAGCUCUUCUUACAGACAGCAUCACAAAAUAUACACAAAUUUUGCAAGUGCACUUGAAACAUAUUUUAUCACUGCUUGCUGCUCUCUGCUGCAUGCCUAUAUCUUAAACUAAAGAUCUAACAAAGCAUGCUUCCUUCUGUCCCACAGAUAUGCUUUCCCUGCAGAGGAGCUGGGAGCAGUUGCUUUGGUUGGGCUUUGAGUAAGAAGUGCUGACACAAAGCCAUGCUGCUUACAGUGCUGUAUGCUCACCUGGAACUCCCAAAGUCCUCAGCUGGUGCCCAGCACAGCAGCCUGUCCCUGUCCCGCUCCUUCCAAGUCAUUGUGAAAUGCAAGGAGUAAACAUUCCGAGCUCUUAGCCUGCAUCACACCUCUACCAGCACUGACAGCAAGCAGCAUUCAGGCUUAGCACUUAGACCUGGUGAUGGGACAGGGCUGCCAGGUGUAAAUUACUAACACAUACCUCAAGGUUUAUGUAUUUGCAGCUAGGAAUUCAAAGAAGAGCAAUCUCCGAGUUAAUAGUGAAGUGAGGAUGAACUCAGAGCGAGAGCAGGCAGCUUAUUACAGAAAACCACCCAUGACAAAACAGCAGUAAGAGAUGUGAAAACCACACAUCUCUUCUGCCACCAAAACCUCAGUGCAGUACUUCUCUCAAAGCCCAGUCAAUAAAUACCCACUUUAUUAGGCAGGGGGAGUCUAAAGGCUUCUCAACACAGAAACUCCUCUGGUUUACUGUGAGCUGGCAAAGCUUGGCUAACUAAAGCAGUAAAAAGUCCUCUUUAAACAUUUGCAGACCCUAAGAAAUCCUUCAGUAAAGGCACCUAAAAAGAAGUUCUACUACUGAGCAUAAAAAAAAAAAAAAAAAGUGUAUUUACUUUGUUUCCUAAGGAUAAGCUCCCUGUUCCCUUGAGUAGGUUGAAAUAAACCACUUACUGUGUUCAUUCCAAUGUGGAUUUUUCCCUGUUGCUCUGGCUGAUUAGGACAAGUGGGCACGCCAUGCUCUCAUUCACAUUGGUGGUAUGGAUGGGAGCUUGUAGCAUACACCAAGUAAAGACUGAGGAGUCACGAGCCAUAGGAUUUAGCAGUUGCCUUGUCGUAUCAGUGCUCAGACCUACAGCAAAGUGUAGAGCGGGAGCUUAUAGACUUAUUUUGCACCUCCACUGCUGUUAGCAGCUGCAGUAGCUGUUCCCAACCAUACACACAUGCACAGAGUGGGAGUACAGACUGCUGUACCAUAACUGCAGAUGGUAAACUGCAACGUCUGUCAUGACCUUGAAAUGCUGGGAAAGAUCCUAGCUGAGCUCUCAAAGUACAGGAAUGCCAACAAGUUGGAGGCUGGGACCGCAGCCUAAGCAUCUAUAGUUUCUAGGGUAUUAACCUGCCUGAGGGAGGGGUAGUGGGCCCACAGGGAAGGCACAAGAUGUCAGCUGCUCCUUAUUCAAACUCCUUUUUUUUUCCUACUUGCAUCACAACAGCUGCCAGACGAUGCUGUCUGGGAUUGAUGAAAAGGACAGGCUUAUUUGUUGGUGGCAUAUUAUUAGCAUUGUUACCCAUUGCUAUAUGGGGAUUAAAUAAAUGCAAGGGGAGCUUGGUUUCAACGAGAUUUUACAUCCCUCAGCCUCUGUCUGACGCAGCAGCUGUCCGCUGUGACAUGCCUGUUAGCAGCAAGCAAGUGCCAGCCUUUCAGCUUUGCUCUGCAAAACCCUCAAAGCUCAAAUGGGACACAACCUCUGGAUUGCUGGGAGGGAUAUGAGUGUCACAUAUCUGGAAACACGAGGACGGUGGUCCCGUCCUGGAAGGAAGUCAGUGCAGCCAGCAAAGUUUCUGCAUAUCGACCCUGUCUGCAUCCAGAACAGGUGUCCAGGCAGUCAGAAAAUGGGGCUGGCAUCAUUUCAGCCUGGGUGGCUCAGCAGCCUUCAGCAGUGACCUGGAGUUUUGCUCUUGGCCAAACUGGCUGGUGUGCAGUUUUUACGUGCACAUAUAAAUGGCACGUGAACACAUGCACUGUUUCUUAAUGUUCUGUACCACCCAUUCCUUGAUCCUUAUACAAAAACUGACCGCUUAGUUUGGGAACAGUAAUUCCAAAACAAACAUACUUAUAGGAUUCUGACCUGAGAUCUCUGUGUGAUCCUCCAGGGAGACAGCUAAUUGGAACAGUCAUUCAUCCUUCUGUGCUGCUGUGGUGAUGUUACUGGUGAGCAGACUCAGAGGGAUGCUGAAGUUCAGGGGAGCUAAGAGACACACACAAGUGUAACUAACCACUUUCCCCUUUAAGUCCCAAAUUAAGAAGCUAUGAAUGAAGACAGUAAACUGAAAGCUAUACAAUAAGCUGGCUACAUAGCAAUUGUAUGCUCACAGAUACUCAGUUAAAUGGGAAAUGUGUGCGAUUCAGCUCUUUGAAAGCUUUCAGACGAAGUCAACCACCUGAAAAGUACCAGGAUUUUGAAGUAUACUGCUUAAUGGAUUAAAAAAAAAAAAAAGGGAAAGGAAAGAAAUUGACUGGCAAAGCAGACCUGCAGACAAUCACAGUCCACAGAAUCAGCUUUCAGUUACGCCUCUUCCCCGCAGCGCAGCAGAGGAGCUGUGGACUUGACAAACAGAAGUCAGAAUGUUUUCCAAAUGACAAAAAGCUGCUGGCUUAAAAACCCCUUAUUGUGGGAAAAAAAAAAUAGACUGUGCAGAAAUAAUAAUAAUAACAAUCUUCAUUUUGUAAUAUUAGGAGCACCACACAUUGAGGUCAGCAGGAAAGGGAAUGGGAAGAAGCUGCAUGCCAGCUGCUCCAUGCAGAACCUUGUCCUAGAUUCGAUUCCUUGGCACAGACAGCUCCAGUUACCUGCUUCCUCCUCUGUCACUGCAAUUCAUUCUAUUUUGAAGUGUUUGCUGCAGUAAAAUCUCCUGCCUCACUGUCCCAUGUCAAGAGGAAGAAAGCUUUGUACCCACAGCCAUGCACAGGCAGAGCUGCAGGAGAGAGCGCCAUGUCGCUCCGUUGCUCACUGUACUGCUUUUCAACCACUGGAUGAUGCUGGAUGGAAACAGGAGCAAUUCCAAGGCAGUACAAUGGGAUGUAAGCAGGAAGAGACAGCCCUGCCAAUUUCUGUAUGUUUGAAAGAAAAGCAGAGCAUGUGCACUCUGCUGUUGGAAGCCCAACAACUUAUUAGCAGUAAAAUAUACAUUGGAAAAAAAGAAAGUGACUGCCAGUUAAUUUACCACGUAUUAACCUCUUCUCCUAAAGCACUUACUGUACAACUGUUCAAACAAUUGGAGUUUAAAUGUUGCUGAGGCCUCUUCUUUUAAUUAGCCUUUGUAUGUCUCUUCUUCUUCCUCCAGUCUGCCUCCUCACUUCCUUGCACUGCAGUGGGGAUUAAAAUCCUUGUGACAGAGGCUGCCUUGUCCGAGGCUUUGUCACAGACCGUGCAGUGCCUGCACUAACGAUGAGAUGUCAGUGCCAUCUUUCCCAGGAGAAGUGGAUGUGCAAGAACUGCACUCUGUGAUGAAAACCCAACUCUAAUGUUGCUUUCCUUAAUUGAAAGAGUAUUAAUCCGUUGCGAAAUGAAAUGAUGUCUGCUGGUUGGGAAAGGAGUUAUGGAAGUAUUGUUAAAAAUGGAAAAAGCUGAACUUAGGAGGCUGUGGAACGCUUUUCAAGGAAAAUGACUUCUUAGAAUUGAGCUUCCUAGAUUUGAUGGGAGUUGUCAUCAAAAGGCUACAAGGCAGAAGAUCAUGUUCUCUAACGCUGAUGGAAACGGAUACAUGCCCAGCUGUGUUUGCCAUGGGAACUGUGCAAGACAGACCUUAAGCACUUCCCAACAGUAUGUAAGGGACUCUUGGGGAACAAGCCUGACCUUAAGGGAAAGGUAUGCUAAGGAAGAGAAGGAGAAAUAUUUCUCCUUCUAGCGAGAAAAUUAAAGCUUUCCACGUAUCUGUCACUUUGGUAACCUCCUGGAAGACAACUCCUGGGAGUGCUGAGAUAAGAAUCUCUGAACAGAAAUGUGCACUGCUGAUACUACUCUUACAAUGGAAAUGGCCUUAAAAUGAGUUCACAUCGGCUUGAUGUUGUUUGAAAUAAAAGU